rnacentral:rRNA from 1 species
GACGAACGCUGGCGGCGUGCUUAACACAUGCAAGUCGAACGGUAAGGCCCUGUUUUUGUGGGUUGCUCGAGUGGCGAACGGGAGAGUAAAACGUGAGUAACCUGCCCUUGACUCUGGGGUAACUUCAGGAAACUGGGGCUAAUCUCGGAUAGGAGCUUCUGCUGCUUGGUGGGGGUUGGAAUGUUUCGGCGGUUGGGGAUGGACGCGAGGCUUAUCAGCCUGUUGGUAGGGUUGUGGCUUAGCUAGGCUUUGAAGGGUAGCCGGCCUGAGAGGGUGACCGGCCACAUUGAGACUGAGAUACGGCCCAGACUCCUACAGGAGGCAGCAGUGGGGAAUAUUGCGCAAUGGGCGGAAGGCGGAUGCAACAACGCCGCGUGCGUGAUGACGGCCUUCGGGUUGUAAACCGCGUUCGCCUGUGACGAAGCGGGAGUGACGGUAAUGGGUAAAGAAGCACCGGCUAACUACGUG